rnacentral:hammerhead_ribozyme from 1 species
AUCGAGCUGACGAGUUCCAAAUAGGACGAAACGCGCGUCCUGGAU